UACGUAGGGUGCGAGCGUUGUCCGGAAUUAUUGGGCGUAAAGAGCUCGUAGGCGGUGUGUCACGUCGGCCGUGAAAACCUGCAGCUUAACUGUGGGCGUGCGGUCGAUACGGGCAUCACUGGAGUUCGGCAGGGGAGACUGGAAUUCCUGGUGUAGCGGUGAAAUGCGCAGAUAUCAGGAGGAACACCGGUGGCGAAGGCGGGGUCUCUGGGCCGAUACUGACGCUGAGGAGCGAAAGCGUGGGGAGCAAACAGG
rnacentral:rRNA from 1 species